rnacentral:rRNA from 1 species
ACAAUGGGCGCAAGCCUGAUCCAGCCAUGCCGCGUGGGUGAAGAAGGCCUUCGGGUUGUAAAGCCCUUUUGUUGGGAAAGAAAAGCAACCGGUUAAUACCCGGUUGUUCUGACGGUACCCAAAGAAUAAGCACCGGCUAACUUC